rnacentral:rRNA from 1 species
UCCUACGGGAGGCAGCAGUGGGGAAUAUUGGACAAUGGGCGAAAGCCUGAUCCAGCAACGCCGCGUGAGGGAUGACGGCCUUCGGGUUGUAAACCUCUUUCAGCAGGGACGAAGCGCAAGUGACGGUACCUGCAGAAGAAGCACCGGCCAACUACGUGCCAGCAGCCGCGGUAAUACGUAGGGUGCAAGCGUUGUCCGGAAUUAUUGGGCGUAAAGGGCUCGUAGGCGGUUUGUCACGUCGGGAGUGAAAACUCGGGGCUUAACCCCGAGCCUGCUUCCGAUACGGGCAGACUAGAGGUAUGCAGGGGAGAACGGAAUUCCUGGUGUAGCGGUGAAAUGCGCAGAUAUCAGGAGGAACACCGGUGGCGAAGGCGGUUCUCUGGGCAUUACCUGACGCUGAGGAGCGAAAGUGUGGGGAGCGAACAGGAUUAGAUACCCUGGUAGUCCACACCGUAAACGUUGGGCGCUAGGUGUGGGACUCAUUCCACGAGUUCCGUGCCGCAGCUAACGCAUUAAGCGCCCCGCCUGGGGAGUACGGCCGCAAGGCUAAAACUCAAAGGAAUUGACGG